UACGUAGGGCGCAAGCGUUGUCCGGAAUUAUUGGGCGUAAAGAGCUCGUAGGCGGUCUGUCGCGUCUGCUGUGAAAACUCAGGGCUUAACCCUGAGCUUGCAGUGGGUACGGGCAGACUAGAGUGCGGUAGGGAGAUUGGAAUUCCUGGUGUAGCGGUGGAAUGCGCAGAUAUCAGGAAGAACACCGAUGGCGAAGGCAGCUCUCUGGGACGGUACUGACGCUGAGACGCGAAAGCGUGGGGAGCGAACAGG
rnacentral:rRNA from 1 species